rnacentral:rRNA from 1 species
UACGUAGGGUGCAAGCGUUAAUCGGAAUUACUGGGCGUAAAGCGUGCGCAGGCGGUUGUGCAAGACAGAUGUGAAAUCCCCGGGCUCAACCUGGGAACUGCAUUUGAGACUGCAUGGCUAGAGUACGGUAGAGGGGGAUGGAAUUCCGCGUGUAGCAGUGAAAUGCGUAGAUAUGCGGAGGAACACCGAUGGCGAAGGCAAUCCCCUGGACCUGUACUGACGCUCAUGCACGAAAGCGUGGGGAGCAAACAGG